GUGCUCACCUCUGCAGCACAUAUACUAAAAAUGGAAUUGCACAGAGAAGACUAGCAUGGCGCCUGUGCAAAGAUGACACACAAGUUGGUGAAGCCUUUCAUAUUUUA
ensembl:snRNA U6 U6 spliceosomal RNA